CAAGUACUCCCUCCGGCCGAAAUUACUUGUCAUCAAAAUGGAUGUGUCUAGAACUAAAAUACAUCUAGAUACAUCAAUUUCAAUGACAAGUAUUUCCGGACAGAGGGAGUACAAG
rfam:Triticum aestivum genome assembly, contig: Triticum_aestivum_CS42_TGACv1_scaffold_404286_5BL